rnacentral:rRNA from 1 species
AAAGAAACCAACAGGGAUUGCCUCAGUAACGGCGAGUGAAGCGGCAAAAGCUCAAAUUUGAAAUCAGACUCCCCUGGGGGUCCGAGUUGUAAUUUGGAGAGGAUACUUCGGUUAGGGUUACCGCGGUGUAAGUCCCUUGGAACAGGGCGUCAUAGAGGGUGAGAAUCCCGUCUUGCACCGCGUCCGCGCCCCCGUGUGAAGUUCCUUCGACGAGUCGAGUUGUUUGGGAAUGCAGCUCUAAGUGGGUGGUAAAUUUCAUCUAAAGCUAAAUACUGGCUGGAGACCGAUAGCGCACAAGUAGAGUGAUCGAAAGGUUAAAAGCACCUUGAAAAGGGAGUUAAAUAGCACGUGAAAUUGUUGAAAGGGAAGCGCUUGCAACCAGACUCGGUUCCGGGGGCUCAGCGGGCACGUGUGCCCGUGUACUCCCCCGGUCUCCGGGCCAGCAUCGAUUUGGGCGGCCGGUCAAAGGCCCUGGGAAGGUAGUAUCCUCCGGGAUACCUUAUAGCCCAGGGUGCAAUGCGGCCAGCCCGGAUCGAGGAACGCGCUCCGGCACGGAUGCUGGCGU